GUGCCUAACACAUGCAAGUCGAACGGUAACAGGUCUUCGGAUGCUGACGAGUGGCGCACGGGUGAGUAACGCGUGGAUAUCUGCCUAUUAGUGGGGGACAACUUGUGGAAACGCAAGCUAAUACCGCAUAAUCCCUACGGGGGAAAGCAGGGGACCUUCGGGCCUUGUGCUGAUAGAUGAGUCCGCGUCUGAUUAGCUAGUUGGUAGGGUAAAGGCCUACCAAGGCGAUGAUCAGUAUCUGGUUUGAGAGGAUGAUCAGACACACUGGAACUGAGACACGGUCCAGACUUCUACGGAAGGCAGCAGUGGGGAAUAUUGCACAAUGGGCGCAAGCCUGAUGCAGCGACGCCGCGUGUGGGAAGAAGGCUUUAGGGUUGUAAACCACUUUCAAUUGGGAAGAAGAGAUGAGUGUUAAUAACAUUCUGAUUUGACGGUACCUUUAGAAGAAGCACCGGCUAAUUUCGUGCCAGCAGCCGCGGUAAUACGAAAGGUGCAAGCGUUGUUCGGAUUUACUGGGCGUAAAGAGAGUGUAGGUUGUUUAUUAAG
rnacentral:rRNA from 1 species